CAUGGAGUGACUGUUGUUGGAUAUGGAGAAGAAGAUGGUCAAAAGUACUGGAUUGUAAAGAAUUCGUGGGGAACUGGUUGGGGUGAACAGGGGUAUGUAAAGAUGGAACGUGGUUAUAGUGAAGAGACGGGUAAGUGUGGUAUUGCUAUGCUUGCAAGCUAUCCCACGAAGUGAUUCCAAGAAUCUCUAGAAGCUUUAUAGAGCCUUUUCCCCUAUGUAUGACAAUAUGCAAUAGCGCAGAUUAAAAUAAUUUUGACUGUGCGAAUAAAGUACAUAGAGAUACUUGAGAACCAAGGUACUGCUAACAUGAUUCCAAAGAUAAAAAUGAGAUUAUAAUAGAAACAUGUGUUAAGCACAUAAGAUUCACUUGAAAAAUUCAUUGAUACUUUCUCCUACAAGCAUCAUGUUUGAGAAGCUGAUUCUUUUAACAAUAGGUUUGACAUUGAGUCUAGUGAUACAUCAUUUAACACUAACAUUGAAGAUUCACUCUAUACUACUAAAUCAAAACACAUGGAACAGAACGAGGCGAGUUUACAAGCAGCUACUGCUCAACAGCCAGUAUCAGUAGGAAUAGAUGCUGAUGGUUUUAUCUUUCAGCUCUACUCUUCUGGUGUAUUCACAUGCUUCUAUGGAAACCAUCUUAACCAUGGAGUGACUAUUGUUGGAUAUGGAGAAGAAGAUGGUCAAAAGUACUGGAUUGUAAAGAAUUCGUGGGGAACUGGUUGAGGUGAACAAGUGUAUGUAAGGAUGAAACGUGGUUAUAGUGAAGAAACGGGUAAGUGUGGUAUUGAUAUGCUUGCAAGCUAUCCCACAAAGUGAGUCCAAGAAUCUCUAGAAGCUUUAUAUGUAUGACAAUAUGCAAUAGCGCAGAUAAAAAUAAUUAUGACUGUGCGAAUAAAGUACAUAGAGAUACUUGAGAACCAAAGUACUGCUAACAUGAUUCCAAAGAUAAAAAUGAGAUUAUAAUAGAAACAUGUGUUAAGCACAUAAGAUUCACUUGAACAAUUCAUUGAUAUUUUCUCCUACAAGCAUCAUGUUUGAGAAGCUGAUUCUUUUAACAAUAGGUUUGGCAUUGAGUCUAGUGAUACAUCAUUUAACACUAACAUUGAAGAUUCACUCUAUACUACUAAAUCAAAACACAUGGAACAGAACGAGGCGAGUUUACAAGCAGCUACUGCUCAACAGCCAGUAUCAGUAGGAAUAGAUGCUGAUGGUUUUAUCUUUCAGCUCUACUCUUCUGGUGUAUUCACAUGCUUCUGUGGAAACCAUCUUAACCAUGGAGUGACUAUUGUUGGAUAUGGAGAAGAAGAUGGUCAAAAGUACUGGAUUGUAAAGAAUUCGUGGGGAACUGGUUGACGGCAACAAACAGGGUGACAAGGAGAAACUUUCUGCGGUAUGUUUAAUCUUUGUUCAUCUCCCCAUAGCCUAUGUUUCUGGAGGAUGAGGCAAAUUCUUGUUGACAAUUUAUCUUUAAGUUAAAGUAGUUAUGUAUGAACCUUGCUGCAAUUCAUCUUGACAGGUGUACGACAGGCUCACUCACUUAAUCUCAAUGGAGAGUGAGAACUCAAGUCUCGAAAGGCCAGCCAAAUCAAAUGAAUGAGUGUGGGGGCGUAAAUUAUUGGGCUCUUAGAGCAGAGAUUUAUGCUGCUUCUUAUACAACUAGUUCAAAUCGAGCUUCAUCUUAUAAUUUUCUCAGAUUGUUGUUAGGAUGUUUAUGGCUUUGUUGCUUGUGGGUAACUACAGUAGUGGAGAUGCAUUAGAGUUGAUCCAGGGAGCCUCUAUUUAUGUUAACAUCCAAAAUACAUUGUUAUUAUGUUCAAUAAAAUAUUCAAGUUGUUCUUCGUCCAAGUACACCAAUAACGCACUUGUCACAUUCUACAUGCUUGUCUUGUUGAUCUUGAUGAGAUUUGGCCCUUAGAUUCUUUGUUCUUCUAAUUGAAUUUUUGUGUACAAUUACAUACAUUUUAUAAGUAUUUGUAACUAAACUUGCAUAGGUAAAAUCUCUUGUAGCCCGUUACUUAUUUGUGGAGUCAUCAUCACCAUCAUCAUCUUCAUACCUGUGGACAUCCAGCUUCCACGUCCCAUCAUCCAUCUGAACCAUCCCUCUAUUCGCAAGACACCUCCAGACACUCGGCACUAAGUACUUAUCCUUCAGAGCAUCCAACCCCUUAUUAACCAACGAAACAUCCCGACCAAUCUCCAGCCUAAACACCCCGGUCUUGUCCUGCAUCCCCGCUAUCCCGUGCAAAUAUAUCUCCAGGUUAUGGUAGUUCCUCCAGUUCAGAGAACGUUUGAGGUAAGUCGAGUUCAACGUAUUGAUCUGCAGCACCUCGCCUACCUCUGCAUACAUGAAGAGUGGAUAGUUUGGUGCUACAUCCGGGACGUUUACUAUUCUUAGGAUGUUUAGUUGUUUGUGCGAGCUGACUACUUUUUUGAAGUCUUGGUCUCCUAUUCGAGGGCACCCGAAUGCGAAGACUGUGAUGGGGACUUGUUUGCUUUGAAGACCUGUGUGAAUCUUGUUUUGACUGCUGUGGACAAGAUCUGCAGCUGCUAGAGUUGACAUUACUCCGCCCAAGCUGUGGCCUGUGAAAGUGAUGCUUACUUCUUCGUUCUUGUAGACUUCUAGCAGUCUCUUGAGCUCUGCUUGUACCUGAAACCGAAACCAAGACACAGUGCCAUUAGCUAGGGCUGCAGGUUCGAGUUAUUCAGUUAGUUCGGAAUUCGGUUAGAUCGGGUUGCUCAAAAAAUUUGGUUUUGCGGUUAGUUUGGUUAAUUUUCAGUUUAAAUUGAAUAAAAUUCGAAAACAAAUUGGUUAGUUCCGUUAAUUUUUGGUUAUUUCUGUUCGGAUUUUGGUUAGUUCGGUUCGAAAUUUCGGUUAAAAUUGGUAUUAUUUGAAAUUUUUUUAGUUGCCGAAGUGAACCGAACUUGCAAACCGAGCUAACCAAAAAGCAAACUUUUGGGUCGGUCGGUUCGGCAAGUUCGGGUCGGUUUAUACCCGCAGGCCUACCAUUAGUAAUGUAAAUGAUAAAGGGUAAGGUGAGGUAGACCUGUUCACGUGCGCUAGUUGUGUCAUAAGGAGACUUAGCAUCAGAAGCUGUAUAAACAUCAAGCCAGCCACUUCCAAUACGGGGCACGUGUUUGCGGUCUGUCACAGGGAAAACUUUAACACCUGACUCAAGAGGAAAAUCGAAAUCGUUAGCCCAUUCAUACGGCUGAAGAGUUCCUCUCCAAGCUACAACAAUGUCUCUCCUCCCUAGCAUCGCCUUCCCCUCGUCUGUAGCGACCGCAAUGUAACCCAUCCAGUUAGUCUGCACGCGCGAGGCUUUCUUUGACAAAGACUUGACGAUGAAACAAAGUGGCAUCUUUAUAGAAGCUGUUGCAUAGAUGUACUUGGUCACAUUGUACCUGAAGAAUCAACCAUAGUUUGCCUUUACAUCGUCUACACAAAGAUGAAACGUUAUUUGUGGGAAAGUACCUGAUAGGGUUGGCUUUAAGGUAGCCGGUUCGAGCAUGGAUUUGACUCUUGGAGUAAUAACAGUCACCGCAGUAUUCGGACUUACGGUCCCAGUUAAAGGCGUCAUAACCAACCUGAGCCAUCUCGCCAUAGUGAAUGAGGUAGCGACGUAGGUCUGAGUCAAGUGGAUCAAGCAGGCCUUUCCAUUUGUUUUGGCCACUUAGCACUUUCCAUCUCUUUGGUAUGUCUUCCAACAUGUUUUGCCUUAGUAUUUUUCACAAACCUUUCCUUGUUCUAGCUUUUUUUUUUUUUUUGGACAGAUAAGUGUUUGUUAAGUGUAGGCAUGUUACAUUGUUAGGGAUGAGACAGAAGGAAACUUGUUUCAUUAGAACUGUAACAAAAUGCAAAACCUGUGACCAAGAGAGCAGCCACGACACUGAAGCUUAUAUUACCAAGAAACCAAACUCAUUUCCCAAAACAAACAAAAAAAUGCUGAAUGCACUUAGAAAAACUAACCUGACCCUCGUCAUUUUUAUCUGCUCUAUCCUGAUAGCUUCAAGGCUAUGUACUGGGGACUCCUUUGUGUACGACCCAAGCAAAACCUUGAGGGAACGGUUCAAGAAGUGGCUUCAAACCCAUAGCAUCUUAUAUGGAGGAAAGGAGGAGUGGAUGCUACGGUUUGGGAUAUACCAGUCUAAUCUCCAGCUGAUAGACUACAUCAACUCCCUCCACUUGCCGUUUAAGUUAACAGACAACAGAUUCGCAGACAUGACCAAUGCUGAGUUUAAGGCUCAUUUUCUCGGUUUGAACACGUCUUCCUUGAUGCUAGACAGAGACCAAAGGCCGGUUUGUGACGCACUAGGCAAUGUGCCAGCCUCUGUGGACUGGAGGAAAGAAGGUGCAGUGACUCCUAUUAGAAACCAAGGAAAAUGCGGUAUGAAAUCUAUAUUCUCUUACACAGUUCAUCCUUAAGAUAAAGACAUGACCAGAGGUCAUUAGUUUAACUGGAAAAGACUCUUGGCCAUUGUGUCAGAGAUCCCCAGUUCGAGUGACUAUUGAAACGAAACUAAUAUUACAUGUUGUGGUUUCGGGUCUGGGGAUUACCGAACCUUUUGGUAUUCAAAUAAAAAAUAAAAAAAAUAAAGAUAAAUACAUGAUUGUGUUGUUUCUUUUAUUCUUGUGCAGGAGGUUGCUGGGCGUUCACUGCAGUGGCAGCUAUUGAAGGCAUCAACAAGAUAAAGACAGGGAACUUAGUAUCUCUCUCAGAACAACAACUCAUAGACUGUGACGUCGGCGCUUUUAACAAAGGAUGUAGCGGUGGAUUAAUGACAACAGCAUAUGAAUAUCUCAUAGCCAAUGGUGGACUAGUCACCGAGGCUGACUAUCCAUACACAGCCAUACAGGGUUCAUGUGACCAAGAGAAGUCCCAAAACAAGGUGGUUACAGUACAAGGAUACACAAAGGUGGAACAGAACGAGGCGAGUUUACAAGCAGCUACUGCUCAACAGCCAGUAUCAGUAGGAAUAGAUGCUGGUGGUUUUAUCUUUCAGCUCUACUCUUCUGGUGUAUUCACAGGCUUCUGUGGAAACCAUCUUAACCAUGGAGUGACUGUUGUUGGAUAUGGAGAAGAAGAUGGUCAAAAGUACUGGAUUGUAAAGAAUUCGUGGGGAACUGGUUGGGGUGAACAGGGGUAUGUAAAGAUGGAACGUGGUUAUAGUGAAGAGACGGGUAAGUGUGGUAUUGCUAUGCUUGCAAGCUAUCCCACGAAGUGAUUCCAAGAAUCUCUAGAAGCUUUAUAGAGCCUUUUCCCCUAUGUAUGACAAUAUGCAAUAGCGCAGAUUAAAAUAAUUUUGACUGUGCGAAUAAAGUACAUAGAGAUACUUGAGAACCAAGGUACUGCUAACAUGAUUCCAAAGAUAAAAAUGAGAUUAUAAUAGAAACAUGUGUUAAGCACAUAAGAUUCACUUGAAAAAUUCAUUGAUACUUUCUCCUACAAGCAUCAUGUUUGAGAAGCUGAUUCUUUUAACAAUAGGUUUGACAUUGAGUCUAGUGAUACAUCAUUUAACACUAACAUUGAAGAUUCACUCUAUACUACUAAAUCAAAACACAUGGAACAGAACGAGGCGAGUUUACAAGCAGCUACUGCUCAACAGCCAGUAUCAGUAGGAAUAGAUGCUGAUGGUUUUAUCUUUCAGCUCUACUCUUCUGGUGUAUUCACAUGCUUCUGUGGAAACCAUCUUAACCAUGGAGUGACUAUUGUUGGAUAUGGAGAAGAAGAUGGUCAAAAGUACUGGAUUGUAAAGAAUUCGUGGGGAACUGGUUGGGGUGAACAGGGGUAUGUAAGGAUGGAACGUGGUUAUAGUGAAGAGACGGGUAAGUGUGGUAUUGAUAUGCUUGCAAGCUAUCCCACAAAGUGAGUCCAAGAAUCUCUAGAAGCUUUAUAUGUAUGACAAUAUGCAAUAGCGCAGAUAAAAAUAAUUAUGACUGUGCGAAUAAAGUACAUAGAGAUACUUGAGAACCAAAGUACUGCUAACAUGAUUCCAAAGAUAAAAAUGAGAUUAUAAUAGAAACAUGUGUUAAGCACAUAAGAUUCACU
rnacentral:lncRNA from 1 species